rnacentral:lncRNA from 1 species
UCGGGAGUCCGACGCCCUCGUCGGCACACUCGCACCACACGGCAGAGUGGCUCUGAUACCAUUUGUCACACCCCAGGACCCAUUCCGCCGUAACACGAUAUUGUCCGCUUUGGGCCCACCGGCCCUCACGGUUUUGUUUCCGGCAGCUCAGGAGCAGCUUCCUAGUAGGUCACCCAUCUUGGGAUUGCUCUAGCAUCAACAUGCUUAACCUCGGAGUACCCAUCCCCUCCGAAGCCGCUGAGCCACCAAAAGGCCUCGUGUUAGAUUGGAGGUGGGCAUGUAUAUAUACAGCACAUAACCCCUCUCCGUUUGGCCGAUGUGGGAUAUUACAAUAAAAAAUUUGGACCAUUUCUAGAUUUAUGCGUGUCAUCCUUGCGCAGGGGCCAUGCUAAUCUUCUCUAUAUCGUUCCAAUUUUAUCGGAUGUCCACGUAACACGAUAUUGUCCGCUUUGGGCCCACCGGCCCCCACGGUUUUGUUUCCGGCAGCUCAGGAGCAGCUUCCCAGUAGGUCACCCAUCCUGGGAUUGCUCUAGCAUCAUCAUGCUUAACCUCAGAGUACCCAUCCCCUCCGAAGCCGCUGAGCCACCAAAAGGCCUCGUGUUAGAUUGAAGUUGGGCAUGUACAUAUACAGCACAUAACCCCUCUCUGUUUGGCCGAUAUGGGAUAUUACAGUUUAAUUCAUAUAAGGGGUAUGGACACAUAUUUAUACACCCGUCUGUCCACCUUGAUGGCGUAGUGUAGCACCGCAUUAAGGCGUGACGUGAGCGUUGGACGCGAGCGUAGUAGCCCUAUAUAGACCCAUGAAUUUAUAUAGGGAGUAUGGACGAGUGUAAAUACAUACAUAUAUUAUAGAGUCUGAGAGGCUCGAUAUUUUAUGAGAUAAAAGUUUUAUCGCUUGCGGCAUGCAUUCGAUUUUUCCUUAGAAAUUAAUUUGGGGAAACAUAAAUAUUUUAUUUAUUAUUUUAUUUUUUGUCCACUCACUCUAACGUUAUUAAAUGUUUUCCCCUGGGCCCUUCGUUUUAAAUUGCCCAGUCUGCAGAGUUCGGGUUGGAUCUAGUAGGAGGGGAGGCAUAGUCACCCGCAUUUCUGCCAGUUUUCGUUAGUAGGUUACUUGUUCAACCUACUCGUGUUUUCUUGCUUCCGCUAGUGUUUAGUAGCUCUGAAUACUUUGGGAUUAUUGUAUAUUAUGUGUAGAAUUUCUGAAGGAUAAUUAUGUGAUGUUUGGAAGUGCUAAAUUAAGAGUGUAAUUUGGAAUUUUCGAGUUAGGGUUGUCUAUCUGCAAGGGAGAUUUUCUUAAUCUUUUCAGUAAAUUUUCCUUGGAGGUGGUCCUCGCACGACUUACUCCGGGUUUUAGGGUGAAAUUUGGGGUGGGUCGUGUCAUUGACUAUGCCUUUUCUCCAUGUACGCCCGACCUCAACUAUACUAACCUGCAUACUAGGCAUUUUUGAAACGAAGGGCCCAAGGGAAAACAUUUGAAAUUGUUAGAGUGAGUGGACAAAAAUGAAUUUAAUGAAAAAUGUCACGCCCCGGUUCUUAAGUUAUUUUACGGUUAUUUACUUUAGUAUUAUUUUGGUCUUUUACCGUGUUAAGUAACCGGUUACCCCUUAAGGACCCUAAAGUUGACUUUCUUUUCCGUUUGGAUUUUGGGGAAACUUUCUUCAUGAAAGUUGUAGAGGACGUUAAUACGAGUUCGUAGACAUGCUAUGUGUUAAAAUCGGAGUUAGCAUGAAAAAGUUAUUAUUAAAAGAGUAAAUUUUGAGUUAGAAAAGGGGCGUAAUUAUUAAUGGGUAUUAUUUUUUGGUCGGGUUUAUAGCUGGGCCGGCUGUGGAGAAGCCCAAAACCCUCACCCCUCAUUUCCUCUCUCUCCCUCUCUCCCUCACCCGUCACUUUCUCUCCCUCCCUCACCCGUGCAACUUGACCGCCGGAGAAGAGCCUCUGUCCGCUGCCGUCCGGCCGCCAGGGACCGCCGGACCACCUCUACCUGGACCCCCCGCCACCUCCUCUCCCUCCCCGGCCUAGCCCCCGAGCCGUUAGCCCGCUGGAAGAGGAGAAAACCCGCCGGAGACGCCGGGAAGCUUUUCGUCGGAAAUCCCACCUUCGGCCGCCAUAAGUCGAAAUCUUUAACUCAUCUUGUAGCCCUCAUCAAGGUGAGUAAUCCCUCAAAAGGAAUUAGUCUAUCUCGUUGUGGUUAUAGAGAAAUGUAUAAUUGAAGUUUUAGGGAUUUAUGGAUGUUUUGGUUCGAUUGCCCUAGUUAGCCUUAGAAAUGGACUAAGUGCUAGUUAUGAAUGUUGUUGAGCAUGAUGAGAGGAAUAUUCUGUGAAAAUUUGAGAAGUAUUGGAGGUCUCCGGAAAACGGCUGCCGGCCGCCGCCACCGGCAGGGCAGCUGCCGCCGCCGCCCCUUAAGGGCAGUUUUUCCUGUUUUUGAGAUGGUUUUAAUAAGAGGAGUUUAUUGAAAUAUAGUUUGGAAUUUUUGGAUGAGUUUUGGUUUGGUUUGGAAUUUUUCGGAGAUUGGAGAAAAGGCCGGUUAUUAGAAUGAAAAUCCGGCCGUUGGAUUUCCUUGGUAUUUAUUAUAGAAUGUUAGAAUUGAUGAAUUAAGGUUGUGGUGGAGUUUGGUGUGAAUCCGGCAAGUUUAACCCUAUUAAGAGUAGAGGGUUAAACGGAGGAGAGUUAGAUAUUUUAAUUCACGUAUUUAUUUUCUAGAAUUGAAGUUUGGUUCUAAGCAUGGUUGUUGUACCAGGAUGCGAAGGGAACCUCGCUUGAGUGGCGUUGCGGUUAUCGUCGGGCUUAUGCCCAAAUUUCUGAGUGGACAUUUUGGUUUUAAAAAUAAAUAUGCAUGCAAGAUUUUAUAAUCUAUCAUUUUAUUUUCCGAGCAUAUAAUAUAAUUUUUCAGUUCAUGAGAUGAGCUUGAAAAUUAUUUGAGUUUGGUGCAUUUAUUAAGUGUUGGUCAUGAUUUAUGGAGUUGAGCUCGGAUUAUUAUUUUGAUAUUUGAGUUUGGAUAUUUUUAUAAAUUCCGGAUUUCAUUAAAUGGUUUUAAUGGUGGAUUUUGAGAUUUAUAUAAGAUUUCCGAAAAUGGGAUUUUCGGUAGUUUCCUAUUUUUAAUUCUCGAAAUUAUUGGUGGAAUAUCGAUCUUGACUUUGAGUUUUAUAAAUGAUUACCGAAAAUGGGAUUGUCGGUAGUUCUCCUCAUAAUUUAAUUGUUCAUUUGAGGCAUAAUGAUUUUGACUUGGAGAAUAUUUUAGCGAGUAUUUCGGGCGUAGAUACUAUUAUUUAUGAUUCAUAUUUGUUAUUGAAAUCUCGCUUAUAUUUAUAAAUUGGAGAAUAUUUUGACGUGUGAGACACGUCAUUGAGUUGUGUUAUGAUUUCUUCUGAUGAUUUUCAUGUACGGUUGGGAACCGUACCAUUCGUUUGGUCUUGGGGGAAGUUUAAUGGAUUUAAGUGACUUCGUAUGUUUUAGUCACCAUAUUAUAGGGUCGUUUAUCUUAAUUAUUGCUAGCUAAUCUUAUUGGCGGUCCUCAUCAUAUGUGAGUCGCUAUUAUAGCCUUAUUAGCGGUCUUCUUCAUAUGUGAGUAGAGCGCUUAGCAUGGGACGCUAUUAUAGCUUGGGAGGCAACCGAUCGGUAUUUAUAUUUAUUAGUUAGCUAGCCUUAUUAGCGGUCCUCAUCAUAUGUGAGUUGAGCACUUAGCGUGGGACGCUAUUAUAGCCUUAUUUAGUGGUCCUCAUCAUAUGUGAGUUGAGCGUUUAGUGUGGGACGCUAUUAUAGCCUAGGAGGCAUCGACCUGAGCCUGGGAGGCUCCUUUUUCAUGGUGAUAACUCUUCCCCUAUUUUAUUCUUCUCAAUAAUAUAUUUGAUUAACCAGCGGGGCUGGUUUAUCUCCUCUUAUGAGAUUUAUGUUUUAACUAACCAGCGGGGCUGGUUUGUCCUUUAUUAAGUGAUUUUGGAUUUAAAGUUUUAAGGACGUUUAAGUUGCAUGUUGUUAAGUUUUAAAAGUUGAAAAGUGGGAAAGUAUAUAAGUUUUAUAAUUGUUAAGUUACUGAAUUUAUUUUCGUCCACUCACUCUAACAUUUUUAAAUUAUUUUCCCCUAGGCCAUUUGGUUUAUAAAUGCCCAGUUUGCAGGCUAAGUUAUUUGAGGACGAGCGUACAUGGAGUCGAGGCAUAGUCAGAGGCUGUUUCCGCUUAUUCAUUUUCAUUGUUUUCAUUCAUCAUUAGAUAUGCUCUGAAAGUCCAAUAAUAGCUUAUUAAAUGUCUUUGUUGUUGAUUGUGGAAUUAUUAUUAGAUGAGAAAUUGUUAUUGGGAGUUUUGAUGAACUUGGGGAGCAUGAAGGCUCCAGGAGACGAGGAUGGAUGUUUGUUUAUAGAAGUGUUAAGUUGGAUUUUUCAGGAAAGGGUUGUCCAUUUUCAAGGAAGGUUAUGCCGAAUUUUCGGUAAAUUUUCCUUGAAGGUGGACCCUGCAGGAUUUACCUCGGGUUUCAGGAUGAAAUUCGGGGUGGGUCCUGACAAAAAAUAUUUACGCUUUCCUAGUUUAAAUUUCCAUAGAAAAUAUACUGCAUGCGACAGCUCAAAAGCUCUCAACUCAUCAAUUGGCAAUUACAUGACUAGCUCCGGCUAGUCUCCAAACUUAAUAAAAUAAAGCCUCUCAGGCUAAAAUAAUAUAUAUAUAUAUAUAUAUAUGUAUUUACACUCGUCAUACUCUUUGUACGAAUUCCAUGAAGGAAUAAGAAAAAUAGAAAUUCAUACAAGGCUACUACGCUUGUGUCUAACAUUCACG